GAGUUUGAUCCUGGCUCAGGAUGAACGCUAGCGGCAGGCUUAAUACAUGCAAGUCGAGGGGCAGCGGGGGUAGCAAUACCUGCCGGCGACCGGCAAACGGGUGCGGAACACGUACACAACCUUCCUUUUAGUGUGGGAUAGCCCAGAGAAAUUUGGAUUAAUACCACAUAGUAUAUGGGGUCGGCAUCGAUCUUAUAUUAAAGAUUUAUCGCUAAAAGAUGGGUGUGCGUAUGAUUAGGUAGUUGGUAGAGGUAACGGCUCACCAAGCCUUCGAUCAUUAACUGGUGUGAGAGCACGACCAGUCACACGGACACUGAGACACGGGCCCGACUCCUACGGGAGGCAGCAGUAAGGAAUAUUGGUCAAUGGACGCAAGUCUGAACCAGCCAUGCCGCGUGAAGGAUGACGGCCCUCUGGGUUGUAAACUUCUUUUAUGUGGGACGAAAAAGGGCCAUUCAUGGUCAACUGACGGUACCAUAGGAAUAAGCACCGGCUAACUCCGUGCCAGCAGCCGCGGUAAUACGGAGGGUGCAAGCGUUAUCCGGAUUUACUGGGUUUAAAGGGAGCGCAGGCGGACUGGUAAGUCAGUGGUGAAAGCCUUGAGCUUAACUCGAGAACUGCCAUUGAUACUAUCAGUCUUGAAUGUUGUUGAGGUUUGCGGAAUGGGUCAUGUAGCGGUGAAAUGCAUAGAUAUGACCCGGAACACCUAUUGCGAAGGCAGCAGGCUAAACAAAUAUUGACGCUGAGGCUCGAAAGCGUGGGGAUCAAACAGGAUUAGAUACCCUGGUAGUCCACGCCCU
rnacentral:rRNA from 1 species